CGGGCACGUGCCAUGACUGGGAAUCAAACCCGAUCGCCUGGCUCCUAGGUCGAUGCUCAAACUCUGAGGCAAGCCCUUUAAAAGAGGAUCUAGAGCACCAAGCAGCCCUUGAGUUUGUCAGCUGGCCUGUUUUUUCUCCGAAACUAAUACAGAGGUGCCUCGGUGUUGGCCUGUCAUCGUCCCGGGGGACUGGUUGAGUUCUGAAAUGUUCGAAACCAAGUGGCGCUGUGAUGUCCAACACUUCAUCAAGUGUUUACCACAAAAUGCCAGCCAGACAGUUACACAGCAAAGAAGAAAUGAAGGAAGCCAAGCCUACCUUUUCCUUGACUGCUUCCAGUUCUGAGUCGGUGAUUUUCCACGGAGUCUCUCGCUUUAAUUUCUCAGCAGUUGUUAAAUCUUUGCAGCUUUCAUGGAGACGAUAUGGUUCUAUCAUCUCUUCAAAGACUUUCCAGCUGAAAUUGGAAUUAUAAAGGAGGCCUCAUGAUGGGAAACUAGCUCAUUAUUUCACAGAUACUCCAGGUCCGACUGGCUCUGCGGGCUGCAGAAUCCAAGCUGAAUGUCAUGUAAAUCUCUAAGAGUGCCAGGGACAUCCCGUGAGUAAAACCGUGACUAUAGCACUACCUCCCUGCCCAAGGAAAGGCAUUGCCAUCUUUGAAGCCUUGUCAACCUUCUUGGUCCUCAAUACUAACCACAAACACACAGUAGUAAUUAUUCUGUAAAUACAUUUUCUACAUAGUAUAGUCAAAGACACAGUUGUAAUGUAGACACUUUGUCCCAUAAAUGAGUUUCCACCAGCUUACUUUACAGGUCCCAUGGAAGACCUGCAUGAACUAAUGUAGGAGAUGAACUAGGCUCCUCGGGAGGUGGUUGGGGCUGCCAUCCUCACCUUCGGUCCACAUGGCAACUGCCGCUCACGGCAGGCGGGAGGCAGCGGGCAGGUGGGAGACCAGCAAGGGCUCCCACAAGUUUAAUGGCUAUAGGACAAUUUGAAUGUUUGCUGCAAAUAACACAGCUUUGUCCUUCUGCUGUUGUUUGAGCUUUUCAAAUGACUGUUGUUUGGGUGCAUGUUAUAUGUAUAUAUUUUAAAUAUAUCUUUAUUAAUUUCAGAGAGAGGAAGGGAGAGGGAGAGAGAAAAAGA